rnacentral:rRNA from 1 species
UACGAAGGGGGCUAGCGUUGCUCGGAAUCACUGGGCGUAAAGCGCACGUAGGCGGCUUCUUAAGUCAGGGGUGAAAUCCUGGAGCUCAACUCCAGAACUGCCUUUGAUACUGAGGAGCUUGAGUCCGGGAGAGGUGAGUGGAACUGCGGGUGUAGAGGUGAAAUUCGUAGAUAUUCGCAAGAACACCGGUGGCGAAGGCGGCUCACUGGCCCGGUACUGACGCUGAGGUGCGAAAGCGUGGGGAGCAAACAGG